GACCAGGGACACGCGCUCCGAGUCCCAGAAAAGACUGUUUAUCCUGCACCGGUGCGGGCCCAGCGGAUCCUCUCGGAAGGUGAGCCCCGAGCCCCGGCGCUGGCCCACUUUACGCCUGGUCGGCUUCCGGGUACUUGGAAACUUCCUAUCAGGCGUACAGGUUCACCGAAUUUUCCAGGAAUACCAUGACCACGACCAUGUAUAUCUCCUAGAGAAAUAAAAGGUAUGUCUGAAAAAGGAGUAGGGUGUAAUGUCCAUCACAACACCGUUCAUUAGAGCCUCACACUGGAAGCAGCCCGAAUGUUUAUCGACUAGAGAACAGAUAAAUCACUCUGUGUCUGUGUGAAGGAAUACUACUUGGCAAUAAAGAAGAAUGACA